AAAGUACUCCCUUCGUCCCAAAAUUCUUGUCUUAGAUUUGUCUAGAUACGGAUGUAUCAAGUCAUCAAGUCACAUUUUAGUAUUAUAUACAUCCGUAUCUAGAGAAAUCUAAGACAAGAAAUUUGGGACAGAGGGAGUAGUUG
rfam:Triticum aestivum genome assembly, contig: Triticum_aestivum_CS42_TGACv1_scaffold_513288_6BS